UACGUAGGGGGCAAGCGUUGUCUGGAUUUAUUGGGCGUAAAGAGCGUGUAGGCGGCCUGAAAGGUCAGCUGUGAAAACUCGAGGCUCAACCUCGAGACGUCGGUUGAAACCAUCUGGCUAGAGUCCGGAAGAGGAGUGUGGAAUUCCCGGUGUAGCGGUGAAAUGCGCAGAUAUCGGGAAGAACACCCGUGGCGAAGGCGGCACUCUGGGACGGUACUGACGCUGAGACGCGAAAGCGUGGGGAGCGAACAGG
rnacentral:rRNA from 1 species